CGACCGGCAAGCGCUAAGAACGAACGCCACCAAUACCUGUGCCCACUGUGUCUACUCGUAACUGAGCGCGACUAUUUCGUAAGUCGAACUUUAAGUUGGAGGUUUGGUGUACCUUCUUUGGGACCGGCGAGUGUGUGAAGUGAUAUAGUCCGCAACUCGACAUCGCGACGGGUUCAAUCUCGCGUGUGUUACCGUGCGCAAGCCGCUGAAUAAUUUUCAAAAAUUUGAAUAUCCGCUUAGGUCACGAUAGCAACGACGACGGAAGCUGUUAAUUGUUGUUGUUCCAGCAAACAACGUUGUUCUGUAAAUUAUAAUUAUAAAAUAUCGUGCUAGUGAGGGAACGAUUGGGAUAAACUACGCGCGACUAUGCUGCGCGUUGCGUUAUUUGCGCUGAUCUUCUGCCUAAUGGGAAACUUCAUACUGAUGAACGAGCGGGAACGGAUCGUGCGGGCAAUGGAGCUGGUUGGGCCGAAUGCGAUGCUGGAAGAUAUUGUACUGGAAAAUCUACCGGACUUUGAUGGUCUGCAACUGGUAUGGAUUGAGGAAUGAGUAUUGAUUAUCAGGGCGAUUAUUGUCAUAGAGCGGGGGUCACGGUGAUCAAACUGUUUGAUUUACACCUUCAAGAUAUUGAUUGUCGAAGUAAUUAACUUGAUGAGAUGAGACACUACGACUGAGAGAGAAAAAAUGAAAGACUGCGCGUUUCGAAUCUGUUGAAUGCUGUGGAACCCAUUGUGAUACAUGUUAAGAUUUCAUUAUAACCGCCAUUGACAUACCCGGAGGUGCUGUUCAAAGAAAUUCCAAAUUUCACCGUUCUGCGAAAUUCAUCGUUAUGCUCAAUAUUAUUUAGAAAGAAAUUGGUGGAGCUUGUGAUGAGCGUUGGACUAGAAAUUCUGUAGUAUUCUGUGUAUUGUCGGAUUAUUAUCCAGAUUUGCCAUGUAUUAUUAGAUUUUGGUUUUUAUCUUAUAACACGGAGGAAGUAUUUUUAGAA